rnacentral:rRNA from 1 species
GACGAACGCUGGCGGCGUGCUUAACACAUGCAAGUCGAACGGUGAAGCGCCUUCCUUUUUGGUGGGUGUGGAUGAGUGGCGAACGGGUGAGUAACACGUGAGUAACCUGCCCCCUUCUUCUGGAUAACCGCAUGAAAGUGUGGCUAAUACGGGAUAUUCUGGGUCUGUCGCAUGAUGGGUCUGGGAAAGAUAUUGUUUCGGUGGGGGAUGGGCUCGCGGCCUAUCAGCUUGUUGGUGGGGUGAUGGCCUACCAAGGCGGUGACGGGUAGCCGGCCUGAGAGGGUGGACGGUCACACUGGUGCUGAGACACGGCGCAGACUCCGAGGGGAGGCAGCAGGGGGGAAUAUGGCACAGUGGGCGCAAGGCUGAUGCAGCGACGCCGCGUGAGGGAUGGAGGCCGGCGGGUUGUGAACCUCUUUCGCCAGUGAAGCAGGCCUGCCUCGUUUGUGGGUGGGUUGACAGUAGCUGGAGAAGAAGCGCCGGCUAACUACGUG